rnacentral:tRNA from 1 species
AGGGUAAUAGUUAAGUAUAACAUUUGAUUUGCAUUCAAAAAGUAUUGUGUAAGCAAUUUACCUUA